ACACUCAUUCUCUCUUUUGGGCCUAUUGGUACCCAGGGAAAUUGAUGAGUUAAUCUAUUUUCUUAAAUACCAGGGAGAGAUUGAACAUUAUUUAAUCUGUGGGCUCAAAAUGGCCUUAAAGUUCCUGCAUUUCUACUGAUAUCACUAGUUAGGCCCUGGAAAAAAUAGGACUCCAUUCAGAUUCAGAUCAUCUUCCGUAUCAGUAAUCGUAUUUAAAUAAGCGUGUGGACUGCAGGAAAGACAAUUAUCCUUUGGUAUCUACGGUCUUAACAUAAAACCAAAUUUCACCACUGAAGUCAAGUCUGACUGCUAGAGUCAUUAGAUUAGAAGCUUCUAUAACAUUAACCCCAGUGUGAGCUGUAUUUUACAUCAGAAAUGGAGGGCUUGCCAUCUUUACAGUUGCCAAUUACAAGAAAUUUCUUCAGUGUUCUCGGAUGCCUGUGAAAAGCUGUUUUGGAAAGAUAUAAUUAAUCACUGUCCAUUUAAAUAGCCAUGAGAUUUCAUUUCAGACUAGCUUGGGAGGCGGAAACAGACUCUUCAAGGUGGACAUGCAUGAGUUUUGGGAUUUUAGAGAUUAUCACUCCCUGCUCUGAGGGAAUAAUGCGGUUUUGGAGGAAGGGACACUGUACUCAGGUCUAGCCUCUGUGUCAGGUGUUUUGUACAUGAUCUUAUUUAAUCCUCCAAACAGUCUUUUGUGAUAGGGGACAUUGUUAAUCCUUUUUUGGCGGAGGAGAAAGACUGGGUUUAGAAUUCUGUCAGUCUGGCCAUCAAGUCAUGUCUCUUCUGUGAGACCACCGCGCAGUCCCCAGGCAGCACACGCCACCCCAGGAGGGUCCCAUCAUGCCUCAGGAGGGGGAGAGGGCGCAACCUGUCUCCUCUUUAAGUGCAACUUACACAGAACCUACAUGGAGAUCUUUAAGGUGGUAAAUUACCAAGCAGAGCCCAAACAAAUCAAUGCUCUACCUCCAAAACGAAUGGAAAGGAAAUUAGACCAAUAAGUGUGAGAAUGGAGGUAAAAAUCUGAUUUGCAAUUUGACUGAGACUACAAAGCCAUUCCUCAGACUCAGCAGCCUGCUGUACUAGGGAACUUGACCUGCCAAUAAAAGGAUUGGUCCUCUCACCUAAGGCCUUUUCUCAUCUCUGCUUUUAACUGCUUUUCAUUUCCCUAAGACUUAAGGCUAAUUUCCAGGUUUCAAAAUUCAGUAAACCCUUCUGCCCAGGAGCUGAUGGCUAGAGCAGUUUCCAGAAGGAGAGCUUGAGGUCCUCUUCCUGCUACAGUUCUACCCACACAUGUGUAUGUACCUGAACAGAUCUCCGAGGGGCCUAGGAAAGGUAUACACAGACAGGAGAAGGAGAAAGAGAGAAGUACAACAUUUCCCUUUUUAAUUUAAGUGAUUACAUUUUUAACAUAUUUUUCCAAUAACUACAAUGAGAACAUCUACUCUGUGAGGGGAAUUUGUUUUAAAGGUUCUGAUUUCUAUAUCCUUUAUAUAACUGCCUCAAGUGUCCAUAACUUAGAUACUGCGCUGGGUUAGCUAUCUAGGCUUUUACAUUUUCCUUUUCCAAGUAUUUUCAAAUAUUACUAGUUUGGGGUUUUCUUGUGUUCUUACUCUAAUGGUCAUAAUAAAAAGAUUUAAUAUUUUGUUAUCUUUCUGAUCAUUGUAUAACAAAGAAAAACAAAAAACAUCCCAGGUCCUCAAGAACUUACCUUCUCUGGAUGAAGAGCUCUAGGGUAAAGGUUUCCCCUUCCUGGCAGAUGACUCAGUUGUUAUAAACCUUAAUGACAGUGAUUUGGUACACCUUAAAGCAGCUAGGAUUGCGAAACAUUUCACUUUAGAUGGAUCGUUGGAAAAGGAUUGUGUGUAAUAAGUACGUGGAAUUGUCAGGAUAAUGCACCAGCUGAUUAGGCAGCGCUUGUACAGUCAGUAACAAACACUGGCUUAUCUGUAAACCUUAGCCACGACAGCACUCUCCUCAUGAGGAAAUUCUCCGUUUCCAGUUUGGCAGUAUUUCGUGAAUUAAUUCUCGUAGUCCUCUGACAGCUUAUAAACCAAUAUUAGGGUAAAUAUAAAAAAGGCAGUUGGCUGGGCACCAAGGCUUAUGCUUGUAAUUCCAGCACUUUGGGAGGCCAAGGCGGGAGGAUUGUUUGAGGCCAAGAGUUUGAGGCCAGCUUGGGCAACAUAGAGAGACCCUAUCCUAAAAAAAAAAAAAAAAA
rnacentral:lncRNA from 1 species